rnacentral:rRNA from 1 species
CCUACGGGAGGCUGCAGUGGGGGAUAUUGCACAAUGGGGGAAACCCUGAUGCAGCGACGCCGCGUGGGGGAAGAAGCGCCUCGGCGCGUAAAGCCCUGUCAGCAGGGAAGAAAAUGACGGUACCUGAAGACGCAGCCCCAGCUAACUACGUGCCAGCAGCCGCGGUCAUACGUAGGGGGCAGGCGUUAUCCGGAUUUACUGGGUGGAAAGGGGGCGCAGACGGCGAUGCAAGCCAGGAGUGAAAGCCCGGGGCCCAACCCCGGGACUGCUCUUGAAACUGCGUGGCUGGAGUGCAGGAGGGGCAGGCGGAAUGCCUGGUGUAGCGGUGAAAUGCGUAGAUAUCAGGCGGAACACCGGUGGCGAAGGCGGCCUGCUGGACUGCAACUGACGUUGAGGCCCGAAAGCGUGGGGAGCGAACAGGAUUAGAUACCCGAGUAGUC